AGAGUUUGAUCCUGGCUCAGAGCGAACGCUGGCGGCAUGCUUAACACAUGCAAGUCGCACGGUCAGCAAUGGCAGUGGCGGACGGGUGAGUAACACGUAGGAAUCUAUCCUGAGAUGGGGGACAACCAUGGGAAACUAUGGCUAAUACCGCAUGAUGCCUGAGGGCCAAAGACGCAAGUCGUCAUGGGAGGAGCCUGCGUCUGAUUAGCUUGUUGGUGGGGUAAAGGCCUACCAAGGCGACGAUCAGUAGCUGGUCUGAGAGGAUGAUCAGCCACAUUGGGACUGAGACACGGCCCAAACUCCUACGGGAGGCAGCAGUGGGGAAUAUUGGACAAUGGGCGCAAGCCUGAUCCAGCAAUGCCGCGUGUGUGAAGAAGGUCUUCGGAUUGUAAAGCACUUUUGGCAGGGACGAUGAUGACGGUACCUGCAGAAUAAGCCCCGGCUAACUUCGUGCCAGCAGCCGCGGUAAUACGAAGGGGGCUAGCGUUGCUCGGAAUGACUGGGCGUAAAGGGCGCGUAGGCGGUUUAUACAGUCAGAUGUGAAAUUCCUGGGCUCAACCUGGGGACUGCAUUUGAGACGUGUAGACUUGAGUGGAGAAGAGGGUUGUGGAAUUUCCAGUGUAGAGGUGAAAUUCGUAGAUAUUGGAAAGAACACCGGUGGCGAAGGCGGCAACCUGGUCUUCAACUGACGCUGAGGCGCGAAAGCGUGGGGAGCAAACAGGAUUAGAUACCCUAGUAGUCC
rnacentral:rRNA from 1 species